AGUGCCCUGGGAGUGCCAGGGAUAUGUCAUGGGAGGUGCAGCUUUGUAACCAGUGAGACAGCUGGGAUAGGGCAGACGAGCUGACACCCCUGGCUGAAGACUGAAUGGUUCCAGCAAUAAGAGGAAGUGGGAAGAAUGCAUAAGUGGAAGAAAUGUUUACAGAUGUGCAUGUGCCUAUUUUGAAUGUCUGGGCGAAACAGCAAAAUGUAUGGGGAAUCCCCAGGAGAGAGCUGCAAUGAAAGAAGUAUAAAGAGAAGAGUAGUGGGAAACGAAGCUCUCAAGGCUAACCCUGCAGCAGCAAGUCCAAGAAUGAGGUGUGAGAAAAGGAGUGAGAAGGAGGGGUCACUCAAGGUCUAAUCCCUCCGAGGCCAGCUGAUCUUACCUCAGUCAUCAGCACCACCGUCCUCAUCCAAGCCCUCAUGGCUUUUGGUCUGUGGGUGAACCUACUAAAACUGGCCUCCUUGCCUCCAGCCACAUGUCCUCAGGCCUUCUUCUCAGUGCUGCUAGCCAGACGUUUUACGACUGAGAUCUGAACAUUCCUGUCCAUUUUUCCAACCUUUCACUGGUUCCCCUUGGUCUUGGUCGAGUAGAUAAAAUUCAAUUCCUUAGCACGCUUUACAGGG